rnacentral:misc_RNA from 1 species
AUGAAAACAUAAACAAAACAGCUGAGGGCAAAACGUAAAAGGAAGAAAACUCAAGGAAGUUUAGGAACGACCAAACCUGUUCGUUGGCAGCUGAGAUGAUCAUUCGUGGGUCACUUCUCGCCUGUGCGCGCAGAAAAAUGGUGAACGAACUGAGCAAAAAUGUUUCAAACCGAGCGGCGGCUACGUGUACAACACAAGUAGGACCGAUGAUGUCAAGACAAAAAGAUCUGAUGAAGUUACCGGUGCCGCCGUUGCAAGAAACGCUCCAGAGAUACGUCGAGUCGAUCAAGCCACUUGUUACGCCUGCCCAGUUCGAGAAAACAGCGAAGGUUGUAGGAGAGUUUGGAAAGCCAAAUGGAAUAGGAGAGAAGUUGUACAAAGUGCUGGAAGCCAAAGCAGCAUCUACAGAAAACUGGCUUGCAGACUGGUGGUUGCAAGGAGCCUACCUCACAUAUAGGAUGCCGGUCGUUGUGUACUCAAACCCUGCAAUGGCACUGCCUAGGCAGACAUUCACACAGAAAGAAGACCAACUCAGGCAUGCUGCUUUGCUUAUUGCUGGAGCUCUAGACUUCAAAGCCUUGGUGGAACGGCAACAGUUGGCUCCAGAAAUGAUGGGCAAGCAUCCUUUGGACAUGUCCCAGUACCAAAAAAUCUUCAGCACAUGCCGUGUCCCAGGUGUCAAACAGGAUAGCUUGGAAACCUAUUUUCUCAGUGACAGUCCACCUAAACAUGUGCUGGUCGUGCACAACAAUGAGUUUUUUGCAGUUGAGGUCUAUGAUAGCCAAGGAAAUCCAUAUGAUGAGCACCAAAUUCUUCAGCAACUUCGUCAGGUGGUGGAUAUGUCGGCAAGUGUUGGUGCCGGAGUUGGUAUUCUGACAACUGAGCACAGAGAUAACUGGGCGAAGGCAUUUGAGAACCUCUGCAGAAAUCCUCACAAUGCAGAAUCUGUGGACUCCAUUAAGAAAGCCAUCCUCGUGGUCUGUCUUGAUCAAAAACUAAAGGCUAAGGAGCCAUAUGAAGUGGCCUGUGCUUAUCAAAUGCUUCUUGGAGGCAGAAAUGGGGAAAAUGCUGCCAAUCGCUGGUGCGAUAAAACUGUACAGCUGAUUGUCGGAGAAGAUGGCUACACAGGGAUGCUUUAUGAGCACAGCCCCUCAGAAGGUCCUCCCGUGGCAGUGCUGGUGGAUCAUUGCUACAAGUACAUUGACAAGAAGCAGGGUUGUCCAUCGUCUGGUAAAACAGCUGACAAAAUUCCCAAGAAGCUUGAAUUUGUUGUGUCCCCAGACACCACAGAUGACAUCGAGAAAGCACGUUCCUCACUUUCUAGGCUCACGGCAGACCUAGACCUCUUCAUCUACAAGUUUAAAGGAUACGGAAAGGAAUUUAUCAAGUCUUGCAAGCUAAGUCCAGACAGCUAUGUCCAGAUGGCAAUGCAGCUAGCAUACUACAAGAUUUACAAGGCACCCGGUGCAACAUACGAGAGUGCUUCCACACGGAAGUUUAUUCACGGGCGGACUGAGACCAUCCGCUCAACUUCAAGUGAAAGCUUGGCUUUUUGCAAGGCUUUUGAAAAUAGUCAGACCAAACUUUCAGAAAAGGUAGAGAGUCUACGGAAAGCUGUUCAGAACCACAAGGACUAUACAAAUUUGGCUAUUAAUGGACAUGGUGUGGACCGGCUGUUGCUUGGUUUGAAACUUAUUGCCAUUGAAAAUGAAAUUCCCAUGCCUGAAAUAUACAAAGAUCCAGCGUACAACAUCAGCACUGAGUUCAAAAUUUCAUCUAGUCAGGUGGCAACACAGUGCGAUGCAGUCAUGUUUUAUGGCCCACUUGUCAAGGAUGGCUAUGGCUGCUGUUAUAACCCACAAGCACACACUGUCACAUUUGGCCUGUCAUCCUUCAAUAGCUGUGCCACCACAUCCACUGGGAAAUUUAGGGAUGCCCUGGAGGAAAGCUUGACUCAGAUGCAUGAUUGCCUCAGGCUUGCACAGCCAUCAAAGUUGUAGCAAGGAUUGUUAUGCAUCAGUAUGCUAUUGUGCAGCUGUGAAGAACAAAUUGUUGGCGUUUUCUCAGGGGUUGAGAAGUGCAUUCUAAGAAACUAUUGAUGCAGUGCAUAUGUUUUUUAUAGCUUUGAUCAAACUGCUAAGAUAGACGUUGCUUGUUUAUACGUGUCACAAGAGUCGUUAAGCAAAUUUUGCACCCAUUGUGUUGAUCAAAAAAUACUAUGUACCUGAGUUCUACUUAACAGUGACCAGAGAAGGUUUGGGUGGUGUAUGCCGUGAAGUCAAUGCCUUGGUCAAAAAUAGUGUUUUAGAUUGUAGGUAGGAGUCUAAAAAUGGGUAAG